AUUGGGUCUGUCAAGGACCUUGUUGUGCAGAGCGGAUGCAACUUUUCAAUAGCUGAGAUUCUUAGCAUGGAGAGUUUUAUACUAGAUGAGCUGAACUGGGACCUGUAUGCCACGACACCAAUCGACUUCCUUUGCAUGAUUUGGCACACUGGAGUUUGACUUCUUGGAAAGAUCCAUACUUUAUACUACACUCUACAAACUGGAAGUCAAAUAAGCGUUCCAUGCCUUGUUGAUCUCUAGACAUCCCCACCUUCCCACCAUGGGUCCUGAGACUCAGAAGAGGCCUUGCUUCCAGGUAGCAUUGUGGACCAGGCAGGUGCAGCACUGUAUGGCCUGCCACCAGCUGUCGCAUUUCAAAG